CCUACGGGAGACAGCAGUGGGGAAUAUUGGGCAAUGGGCGCAAGCCUGACCCAGCAACGCCGCGUGAAGGAAGAAGGCUUUCGGGUUGUAAACUUCUUUUGACAGGGAAGAGUAGAAGACGGUACCUGUCGAAUUAGACACGGCUAAAUACGUGCCAGCAGCCGCGGUAAUACGUAGGGCGGAGGUGUUGUCCGGGUUUACUGGGUGUAAAGGGCGUGUAGCCGGGUUGACAAGUCAGUUGUGAAAUUCUGGGGCUUAACCGGAGAACUGCAUUUGAAACUGUUGAUCUUGAGUACUGGAGAGGCAGACGGAAUUCCUAGUGUAGCGGUGAAAUGCGUAGAUAUUAGGAGGAACACCAGUGGCGAAGGCGGUCUGCUGGACAGCAACUGACGGUGAGGCGCGAAAGCGUGGGGAGCAAACAGGAUUAGAUACCCCUGUAGUC
rnacentral:rRNA from 1 species